rnacentral:rRNA from 1 species
CAGUAGCCGCGGUAAUACGUAGGGUGCAAGCGUUAAUCGGAAUUACUGGGCGUAAAGCGUGCGCAGGCGGUUAUAUAAGACAGAUGUGAAAUCCCCGGGCUCAACCUGGGAACUGCAUUUGUGACUGUAUAGCUAGAGUACGGCAGAGGGGGAUGGAAUUCCGCGUGUAGCAGUGAAAUGCGUAGAUAUGCGGAGGAACACCGAUGGCGAAGGCAAUCCCCUGGGCCUGUACUGACGCUCAUGCACGAAAGCGUGGGGAGCAAACAGGAUUAGAUACCCCGGUAGUCCCUGUCUCUUAUAU